UCGUGAACAUAGCAGACUGCUCAGUAACACGUGGAUAACCUGCCCUUAGGACUGGCAUAACCCCGGGAAACUGGGGAUAAUUCCGGAUAGAUCAUAAAUGCUGGAAUGCUUUAUGAUUGAAAGGUUUCGACCGCCUUAGGAUGGAUCUGCGGCCUAUCAGGUUGUAGUGGGUGUAAUGUACCUACUAGCCUACGACGGGUACGGGUUGUGGAAGCAAGAGCCCGGAGAUGGAUUCUGAGACAUGAAUCCAGGCCCUACGGGGCGCAGCAGGCGCGAAAACUUUACAAUGCGGGAAACCGUGAUAAGGGAACACUGAGUGCUAGCAUUUAUGUUAGCUGUCCACAUGUGUAAAUAGCAUGUGAUAGCAAGGGCUGGGCAAGACCGGUGCCAGCCGCCGCGGUAACACCGGCAGCCCGAGUGGUGAUCACUAUUAUUGGGUCUAAAGGGUCCGUAGCCGGUUUAAUCAGUCUUCUGGGAAAUCUAAUCGCUUAACUAUUAGGCUUCCAGGGGAUACUGUUAGACUUGGGACCGGGAGAGGUAAGAGGUACUGCAGG
rnacentral:rRNA from 1 species